GACGAACGCUGGCGGCGUGCUUAACACAUGCAAGUCGAACGGAGUGGCGAACGGGUGAGUAACACGUGGGUGCUCUGCCUUGCACUUCGGGAUAAGCUUGGGAAACUGGGUCUAAUACCGGAUAGUGCAAGAUGAGCUCGCGGCCAAUCAGCUUGUGGGUGGGGUAAUGGCCUACCAAGGGGUCGGUGGGUAGCCGGCCUGGGAGGGUGUACGGCCACAUUGCGCCUGCGGUACGGCCCAGAGGGCAACGGGAGGCAGCAGGGGAGAAUAGUGCGCAAUGGGCGGAAGCCUGAUGCAGCGACGCCGGGUGGGGGAUGAAGGUCUUCUGGUUGUAAACUCCUUUCGACAGGGACGCGGUACCUGCAUAAGAAGCACCGGCUAACUACGUGCCAGCAGCCGCGGUAAUUC
rnacentral:rRNA from 1 species